rnacentral:piRNA from 1 species
UCCUCAAAGCAUAACUGAGGGAAAGGC